rnacentral:rRNA from 1 species
UACGAAGGGGGCUAGCGUUGCUCGGAAUCACUGGGCGUAAAGCGCACGUAGGCGGAUCUUUAAGUCAGGGGUGAAAUCCUGGAGCUCAACUCCAGAACUGCCUUUGAUACUGGGGAUCUCGAGUCCGGGAGAGGUGAGUGGAACUCCGAGUGUAGAGGUGAAAUUCGUAGAUAUUCGCAAGAACACCAGUGGCGAAGGCGGCUCACUGGCCCGAUACUGACGCUGAGGUGCGAAAGCGUGGGGAGCAAACAGG